rnacentral:lncRNA from 1 species
UCAAGUUGUUAGAACCAUGUUCACUGAUUAGCUGGAUUAUGUUGUGUUUAUGUAAUUCUUGCUCUGGCAGCAUUAGAGAAAUAUACAUGUUUUCAUAGUAUCGUUGCAGUAAUUAUUCUCUUUCAAGAGUAUCAUUCUAUCUAUCAGUAUAUAGAAUCAAUGUUUUGCUUUAACCAUCAUCAUGUUCUAUGAUACAUUGGACUCUCAUAUUGACCAUGCAUGCA